UACGGAGGAUCCAAGCGUUAUCCGGAUUUAUUGGGUUUAAAGGGUGCGUAGGCGGCCUAUUAAGUCAGGGGUGAAAGACGGUAGCUUAACUAUCGCAGUGCCUUUGAUACUGAUGGGCUUGAAUACACUAGAGGUAGGCGGAAUGUGACAAGUAGCGGUGAAAUGCAUAGAUAUGUCACAGAACACCAAUUGCGAAGGCAGCUUACUAUGGUGUGAUUGACGCUGAGGCACGAAAGCGUGGGGAGCAAACAGG
rnacentral:rRNA from 1 species